UCGAGCGAGAACCACUCUCACGACUCUCUGCCCUCGUUCGCCGCCGUCGCCGCUCCUUCACCGCCGCCCUUGUUCGCCACAACCGCCGCUCCAUCCCUUUGCCGCCACCCUCGUUCGCCGCUGCUGCCGCUCCAUCCCUUCACCACCGCCCUCGCACAUCAAAGCCGGCGCCGCUCCAGGCCUUCGCCGCCGCCUCUCGAUCUUCUGCCUAGGGUUCCCCGCUGCACCACCCUUCCCUCGAGCGUGGGCGGCCACCGGCGGAGGAUCCCCGCUCCCCCUCCUCUCCGGCCACACCGGUCUCCUCCCUAACCACAAAGUGGGCGCACGCGGUGCGGGCUCCGGCGAACGCGGCCGCGCGCGAUCCAGAGGCCUGGCGGCGCCCACAUCCCUCGCCUCUCUGGUCACGUCGCCUCCCUAACCACGAAGUGGGCGCACGCGGGGUGGGAUCCGGCGAACGCGGCCGCGCGCAUCCCUCGCCUCUCCGAUUGCAUGUCUCCUUCCUUCCUACAAAGUGGGUGCACACAGGGUGGCCACUCCGCCAACCGACUCCAGGAGCUCUGCUUUCGCAACGGCAACAUCUACAUCAAGCUCGGCCAGCACAUCGCACAACUGGUGUAUGUGCAGACGAUGAGGGCGCCGAUGCUCAAGAGGUCGUCCGCGGAGUCAUCAAGAAAGAGAAUGGAGAAUUGCCACAAACUGUUUUUGCAUAAUUCUUCCUUGUCCCGCUUGCAAGUGCUUUUCUUGUGCAAGUCCAUGCGUCCACAACACAUGAUGGGAAAAAAAGUUGCUGUCAAGAUUGUUGUUAUUAUAUAAGAAAAGACUGCAGUUCAUUCGUUCACUUAUGUUAAGUUUGAACUCUUCAAUUAUGACAGCAAAGUUCACCAGCAUGUUGUCUGUCUUUCACUUUUUUGACCCCUGUUUUGGCUUACAGGUUCAACACGACCACUUGGUGGAUACUUCCAUAAUAGAUAUCGCCACCGUGGAUUUAGUAGUGAAUGCUCUUCAUUAUAUUUUCCCUAAAUUUGACUACAGUUAUGAUAGAGAGAAGGACUCUGAUCUGCAUGCUUUGACUGAUGGAGUCUUACCAAAAAAUGGCAGGCAAGUAUGUUGACUGGGUUGAUGUGGAGCUAGAGAAACUUGAGAGGACACAGGAGGUGUUAUUGUGAAGUGUGCUAAAUUGUGUUUUUGAGGAAGACAAUCAUCUCAUACUAAAACGGAAAGACUAAGCUCAAUUCCAUGCUUGAAGCCUUGUAUACAGAAUGCUCUAAUUCAUACUGGACUGCUAUUCCUGACAUGUCAAUGGUUUCGGGGUAUUAUUUGAGCUGAUAUGGAGGGACUACUUUAGAUUUCAUCCACCAAAAUAUGGGAACUCCAUUUUCUUACUAGUUCAUACCCACCACGUUCGUGUCUUCACAACUUCGUCCUCCAGCACAAACGCCAGAAUGGAGCAAAAGCUGUGAUUUGCCAGGUCGGUGAACUGAUCCAGCUCGGGACUAUGGGCCGGGUGCUGUGUCCGCGCAGGAGAACUGAUACAGCUCGCUGCCAGGGUGCCAUCCCUCUUCUUCUGUGCCAUAAAGCCCCUCGAUUGAAUCUCUGAAUCAGCAAAUCAAAAUUGCCGACCCAGCCAAUCUCGUCGGAACAUCGUCUAGCUUGCCGUGCUCCACUCACUGACCAAGGCGAUCGACAUUUUCUUGGCUGGUCGAUGGUGAUUGCUCCCAUGUCUGUUUUUUUUACAGAAUUUGGUUAUAUAAUAUCAUCAUUUAGUGAAUUUUACCUACCUACACAAACAUGAUAUGACCUGCUAUUGCAUGUUCUCUAAGGUAAUGUAUAAAUUUGUUGCUUAGUUAGGAAGAGGCUGAAUCGUGUUGGAUUUGCAGCGAGAGGAAGCCUGUCAACAUGAUGAACAGGGUAGUUUUUACUGAGGGCAGCUCGGCAAGGAAGAGACCGGAUGUUUGUCAUUGACCUACUUUGAAAACGAAGGCUAAAACUGCAGUGGCAGACAUGCUUACAAGAUCUCGUGAACAUCAUUCUGCUGAUGACGGUACUCUAACAGAAGAAGAACAGUGGGAAAGAGAGCAAGCCAGCCUUGUUCUGUUAUUGAGAGGGGGAAGUUGAAAUCUUACCAGAUAAAAGGCGUUAAGUGGCUAAUAUCAUAGUGGCAAAAUGGGCUUAAUGGGAUACUGGGUGAUCAAAUGGGCCUUGGAAAAAUAAUUCAAACAAUUGCAUUUCUUGGUCAUCCUAAAGGGAAUGGUCUGUAUGGUCCAUACAUGGUUAUUGCUCUUACUUCCACCCUGUCAAACUGGUUGAACGACUCAAUGAGCAAAACACACUGUGGUGGUCGCCCUCAGCUACGACGAUGUGCAUUCCUUGGCACCGGGAAUUGGGCUGGGACGUCGUGGAGAGGAGAGAAGGGGGCGGGUGACACAGUGGAGGGAAGGAGAGAUGGUGGUGAGAGGAAGAUGCGGGCUGAAUGACAUGGCGUCGAGGGAAGGCGGCAGCAAAAAGCCGUGGUGGGGAGAGAUGGCGGCGUCGACACCGUGACGUGGAGAGCAAGUCGGGGGAAUGAGAUGUGCGUGUGCCGUGCGGUGAGAGUCAGAGAGUGAACUGUUUUGUUUAUUAUAAGAUGAGAAGAAAAUGAGCUGCCGUUUGUGAUUUUUAGGGGAAAAUAAUUGUUUGCCGUGAGAGAAAUAUCACUUGCUCAAAGCAAGCAGCUGACAAAUAUGUGUUUAUAUAUUCCCUUUUAUAGAUUGGAAAUAAGAACUAUGGCUUCGGAUGAUGCUUUGAAAGUGUCAACUCACAAAGCUUUAUGAUGGGCGGACUGAAAACUCAUUGAUGUCUUACACAAUUGGAAGAGAUAUGUACA